CAAAAUUCGGCUUGUGGACCAAUGAGAAAGCUGCUUGGCAAUCGGCAUUCGUUUGUUAACCACCAUGACCGAGGACACGACCGAUCAUGAAAACUCCAACGAAUCAACGCCCCAGGUCACUGAGGGAUGUCGGAUGCCCGUUCGCAUGCGGAACAGUAACGACUGGCCACUUGCUGAAAUACUGAGCAUCAAGGAGUUACCUGACAAUCAAUGCCUGUACUACGUUCACUUCAUUGAUUACAACAAGCGUCUCGAUGAAUGGGUGACAGUCGAGCGCUUGGACCUGAAGAAGCUGCAACUGCCUCGGAAAGAGAACAAGACUCCGCUGAAGGACGUCAAGAAUGGCUCUCGGCCCUGCUCACCGGACUUGCUGGCUGCAACGUCUGUGGUGGACGUGUGGCCACAAAAGUCCCCAGCAGAGGCCAAGGUUCCAGUGAAGGAGGCCCUCCCACCGGCCAGCGCGGCGGAAUCGUGGGCCGAGAAAUCGCCCGACGAGCCGGCCCCAUCCGCAUCCGUGAAAGAUACCAAGGAGAACUCCGAGGUUUGGAGCAAGAAGGCUAGGACAUCCGAAGUGAGCAAAGCAGUCAAGGAGAAUGGAGCUCCACCAAAGAAAGCAGCGGGAAGGAAGAGGAAAUUUCCUCCCACCGAAAACGAGGCUGUGCCUCCAGUAGUGGCCACGCAGGACUCCCAGGACUCGUCCACACCGUGCCCACGCUCGACGGGCAGCAUGGUGGCCCACCAUGACGACAUCGUGACGAGGAUGAAGAACAUUGAGAUGAUCGAGCUGGGCCGCAAUCGCAUCAGGCCAUGGUACUUCUCUCCAUACCCACAGGAACUAGUCAACUCGUGCAUUUACCUCUGUGAGUUCUGCCUAAAGUACACAAAGUCCCGAACCUGUCUCAAGCGACAUCUGGCCAAAUGCACGCUCAAGCAUCCGCCGGGAAAUGAGAUCUACCGCAAGGGAAACUACUCUUUCUUUGAGAUAGACGGCCGCAAGAACAAGAUGUAUGCACAGAACCUCUGUUUGCUUGCCAAGUGUUUCCUUGAUCACAAGACGCUUUACUAUGACACGGACCCAUUCCUCUUUUAUGUCAUGACCGAGGUCGACAGUCGUGGCUACCAUCUCGUCGGAUAUUUCUCAAAGGAGAAAGAGUCAACAGAAGACUACAAUGUAGCCUGCAUCUUGACACUGCCACCCUACCAGAGGAAAGGAUUUGGCAAGCUGCUGAUUGAGUUCAGUUAUGAACUGUCCAAGUUUGAAGGCAAGACGGGCUCCCCUGAGAAGCCACUUUCGGACCUGGGGCUGCUGUCGUACCGCUCGUACUGGUCCGAAACCAUCCUCGAGAUCAUGAUCAAUAUGACUCCCAAUGAGGCAGGAGAGAAGCCACAGAUCACAAUUCAUGAAAUGAGCGAGUUGACGAGCAUCAAGAAGGAGGACGUGAUAUCAACACUACAGUACCUGAACCUGAUCAACUACUACAAGGGCCAGUACAUCAUAACCCUGACCCAGGAGGUGAUCGAGGCAUACGAGCGGGCGGCCCUAAAACGGCCCCUGCGGAUCGACCCCAAGUGCCUGCACUGGACGCCCAAGGACUGGUCCAAGCGUGGCAAAUGACUGCCAGCGACUUCGGCCGCACGCCCUGCUCUGCAGGAGUGACAGUGCCCUUGUCCACCACCAGGCACCGGAGUGCUCUUCACGUGGCAUGCUGUUGGUGCCAAAGCCAUCCUGUCGUCUGCUCCUUCAGCAUCUUCAACAAAAAGCAGUGGGGUAUUUGCGUCGUCAGUAGUGCUGCAUUAACUGGCAGUGCUUUAUCCCUCCGGCAUGUGACGAUGUGAGCACUGUCAUUGGGCCCGUGUGUGUGUGCGUGCGUGCCUGUUUUAUCGACAUACCCUGGACACUUCACAUUCUCUCUGUCUUGAAAAGCAUGGCUUGCAAAGGGGUUAGCCUUAAAACUGAGAAUCUCGCACCAAACUGACGGCAUCAUUACCAGUGCUUGUGUAACGAGUUGUUGGGUUGAAUUGGGUUUUCCAUGUGUGUGGGAGACACACAAGUUCACAAUAAUUAAUGUUGCAGUUGCAACUCUGGCAUUCAUUUUUGUGUCGGCCCUUCAGCAGCUGGAUGCCAGUCGUACUGCUGCUUGACUUUUAUUGUUCUCGGGGUCAAAUUCGCAGCGCUAUUAGCAGCUAAGCAUGGUUAGCGAUUACCUGGUGCCUUGGCCGUCAUCCCACCGACUUUCUCUCGAGGCCAAUUUUGAACCCUCCGCAGGUAUGGACAGCUCUCCGAAUCCACCAACUGAUUAAUCUAGGCCGCUAUUCUGUACCGAUGCCUUUUUCAGUGCUAAUGCCUUUUCGUGCUUAUUGCGUUUUUGAGCGGCCAGAGCGACACCUCGCUCUGGGCGUAGCGUUGAACGCGACCACUCACGAACGCGAAAAGCGCGAGAAGGCAUUAGCAUCCGACAAGUCGUCGCUACAAAAUCGCGGUCAUCUCUAGUAAUAAUGAUUGAUGGCUAGGUUCACAAAACUACAAGCCAUUCACACAAAAGCAUAUGCCAAUUUCAGCACUUCCUUGUUUCUAGAGCCCUGCUGUUCACUGUGAUCACUAUUUUUUUAAGAGUUUAAAUGAUGGCUCUGGAAAUGGUGCCUUUGGUUUCCAUGCGAGUGGUGCAAGCUGACUUCCGUUGCUUCGCUCGGCCAGACUGAGAGUCACUGCUCAUUGUCAAGACCACAUUUGUCUUUCAUCGCCAUUAGGAUGUUAUUUAAUUACACCGUAAAACCCCACCAUAUUAAAAGCAGCAAAGAUGGGACAUUCAGAAUUAGGGUUUGAUCCUGUGACCUUUCAUUAUAGUAUUGAGUCUCUUUCUCCAAAUCCUCUCUCACCCCCUCCCCCUCUUUUCUUUUUUGUUUGGUUCUUGCGAAGCGCCACAUAGUACCUCAUAUGUAGCUAUUUAGUCUCAGUAAGCAAUGGUUGUAACUUCAAAAUUCACUGACAGAACGAUGUAUGGCCUAAAGAUCCAAUUACUCCAUGUCCCGAAGAGGUUGGGAGAUUGAGUUGUUUAAAGAAAGCUGGAGUGUGUUCAGCUUUAGCAAGGCCUAAAGAAAGAGGAAAAUUAACAUUUGUCUUGUUUGCAUUGUACAGAGCAGGUGUUUAGCUGAUCAGCUUGUGGCUUUCACUGUCUCAUGGUGGUAUAGUGUCCCCCUUUCUCGAUGAAGUGUGAUAUGCAGGUUUUCAUUGAUGCAACUUCAAAGUGCUUGCGAAGCUGUCAUCUGUGCCACGUUCAGCUUUGUGGUUCUGAGCCAUUAAAGGACAUGCUGUUCGUUGUCAUUAUGUGGUGGUUCAGCUUCUGUUAAGUGGAACACCUUUGCCAUGGUACCUGGUGUACAAAAAAAGAAAAGCUCGAAGUCUGUUUCAAUGUGUGGUGGUCUGUGGUGUGUGUACAGCAUAGGAAUUGAACUCUCUUCACUGUCCAGGACAACAUUAAAAGAAAGCCAAAAAUAUUCGUUAGACAUUUGUCGUCUUCUGUAAUUAUAUUGACCUCCCAUUUCUGUACAUACAUUACACUGCAUCACCGCCCUCACUGGGUUGGUACUUAUUGUAAAAUGUUGUACAUAUACGUGGCCUCCUUUCUUUCUUUUUCGCAUAAACUGCGGCAGCGCGCGACCCUUAGGUUAAUAAAUUUGUGUAAAUACAAAAA
rnacentral:misc_RNA from 1 species